rnacentral:ncRNA from 2 species
CAGAGGGCCGCGGGAGAGAGCCGCCGCGCGCGGCCGCCGAAGGUGAAAGGUCCCCGGUUUCGGGGCCGAAUCUCUCAGGCAAAAGGACCGCGGCCGGAGG